UGGCGACAGGGAGCGGAACCCGAAAGCCUGUCUCAGUUCGGAUUGGAGUCUGCAACCCGACUCCAUGAAGCUGGAUUCGCUAGUAAUCGCGCAUCAGCCACGGCGCGGUGAAUACGUUCCCGGGCCUUGUACACACCGCCCGUCAAGCCAUGGAAGCCGGGGGGUGCCUGAAGUGCGCUGCCGCAAGGAGCGCCCUAGGGUAAAACCGGUGACUGGGGCUAAGUCGUAACAAGGUAGC
rnacentral:rRNA from 1 species